GCGGAUAAAGUUUGACGCUGGGCGGGCGGCGGCAGGUCACGUGAGGAGAAGAUGGCGGCCCCGGCGGGCAGCGGGGGCUCUGCGGUGUCGGUGCUGGCCCCGAACGGGCGGCGCCACACGGUGAAGGUGACGCCGAGCACAGUGCUACUGCAGGUUCUGGAGGACACGUGCCAUCGGCAGGACUUCAACCCCAACGAGUACGACCUGAAGUUUCAGAGGAAUGUGCUUGACCUCUCUCUCCAGUGGAGAUUUGCCAAUCUGCCCAAUAACGCCAAGCUGGAGAUGGUGCCCAUCUCCCGGAGCCGCGAGGGGCCCGAGAACAUGGUGCGCAUUGCUCUGCAGUUGGAUGAUGGCUCCAGGUUGCAAGACACUUUCUGCUCAGGCCAGACACUCUGGGAGCUUCUCUGCCGCUUUGCCCAGAUCAGGGAGUGUCUGGACCGGCCGUGUGAGGCCAGCCCCAUUUGCGUGUACAUGAGAGAUGAGGUGACCGGUAGAGCCGCCUUGCAGAGCACGACGCUGCAGUCACUGGGCCUCACCGGGGGCAGCGCCAUCAUCAGGUUUUCCAUGAAGAGACAUGAUUCCACUGGCAGGCAGGAGCCUGGGGUCUCCUGGAGCAGAAGCCCAGGAAGCCCGACCCCUUCCUUGUCGGCCGACCAGGCAGCCAGCAGCCCUCCGUUUCCACUGAAUUCAGCGGAGCUCAGCCAGGGCGAUGUGAGCCAUCAGGAUGAGGCAGCGAGCCCGGGGGCUGGCCGCGUGGAUGGCCUGGGCCCGAAGCCGGUGGACGCUCAGGCAAAGCAGAUCUCGAAGGAGCCCACGCCAGCCCCCUUUGUUCCUUUCUCGGGUGGGGGACAGCGACUGGGGGGCCCCUCCGGGUCCGUGAGGCCUGUGAUGUCAUCUUCAGCCAAACUGCCAAAGUCCUUCUCCAGCCCUGCAGGCCCCUCCCAGCCAAAGAAGUCGAGGCCUGGCCAGGAGCCCCAGCCGGAGCCGGAGCUGCCAGUGGACCGAGACCCCGUGGUGUGCCACCCUGACCUGGAGGUGCUGCUCCAGGCCUGGCCUGCAGAGCUGCCUGACGAGUUCUUCGAAGUGACCGUGGAUGAUGUCAGAAGACGUUUGGCCCAGCUCAAGAGUGAACGGAAGCGCCUGGAAGAAGCCCCCUUGGUGACCAAGGCCUUCAGAGAGGCUCAGAUGAAGGAGAAGCUGCAGCGCUACCCUAAGGUGGUCUUGAGGGUCCUGUUUCCUGACCGCUACAUCCUGCAGGGCUUCUUCCGCCCCAGCGAGACCGUGGGGGAUUUGCGGGACUUCGUGAGGAGCCACCUGGGCAACCCCAAGCUGCCGUUCUACCUGUUCAUUGCUCCUCCAAAAACCAUCCUGGACGACCACACGCUGACCCUCUUUCAGCAGCCGUCUCCUUUCAUCCGUCAGCUCGCCCUGGAGCCGUGGGGCCUCUGCUCGGAGUGGCGUCCCUGCCCGCCCGCGAUCAGAGAGCUGGCAGGGCUCAGGGAAGGAAGGCUUCCUCCCUCCUGCGGCUUCAACUGCAAUCUCAGCGUUCCUAGGCCUGGCCUUUGAAGCUUCCUCUUAUUAAUACUCCCCGCCCAGACGCCAAGAGCUCAGAGCUGGGCAGAGAGGAUGCGCUCACCUGGCAGCAGUGGCCCUUCCUCCAGGGCUAAGGACACAGAGCCUUGGGCGGUGGCCUUCCUGCUGGCUCAGGCCAGCUUUGGGGCUUACAGCCAUGGUCCUCGUCGGGUGCAGAGGCGGGAAUAGAGGCAGGUUACGACACUGGAGGGCUUCGGGAUCCUCUGCAACAGCCCUGACUCUGCACCACAGUCCAGCCCCCUACCUGGGAGGCCUCCGGGGGCGUUUCGGGGGCCACGUGAUAUGUCCUUGUCCCACACCUGCGCAGGUGGAGCCAGUCCUGAGCAGAAAUCUUGCACCACCACCCCCAUGGACAGGCCUCCGGGAGGGGUGUGGGGACCCCAGUGCAACACCCACCCUGCAGGACAGGCUUGAUGCUGGCUGGCACUGGCUUUUCCUUAUCAAGCGAGACCAGUGCCGAGUCAGGGAACCCACCUAUGGGCUUUUGGGUCAAGGCAGUAGGCCUGGAGGCACCGAUCAGCCUGGGACUCCCAAAGCAGCUUGGCUCCCAGAGCACCCCCCCCCCCGCCUUCCCCUUGUGCCGGGGCCACUGAGGGUCCCUCCCCUGGUGCUCCUGUCUCCAGUCUAGCUGCUUCCAGUGCACCUGGGCUCAUAUGUCAGUCCCUAUGGAGUGCCCCCGACUCCUGCACUCUGUUCUUUGGGCAGCACAGGUGAGGGAGGGGAGUGGGGGGCAUGGUGGGCUGUGCCCCAUGCCCCCACCCAUGCAGUUCUGUGUGAGUCUGCAUCUCCUCUGACCUCUUGACCUCCUGCAGUCUCUGCUGAGGGCGGGGGCUUCCAAGCUUAGUUCCCACCUUCAGACUGUCAACUGUUUACCCCGGGAACUGGGCAGGAAGGGGAGGUAGGUAAAAAUGCCAGAGCACACACACCACGAGAACUUCCUGUUCAGCUGGUGUUUGGGGCUGGCCCUAGGAUUCGAUGGUCUGAUGCCUUGGCCUGGCUUGCACUGGGGUUGGUGCCAGAGGAGGAAUAGGUGAAGCUGGGCAGUGGACUGCACGGUGGGAGGGGCCUGGUAGGGCCGUAGCCCUCAGCGGAGCCCUGGGCCUUAUGGGUGCAGCACCCAUGAGGCCAGCAUGGAAGUGCAGUGUGGCCCUCUCUGCCGUCCUCCACGGUGCCCACUUGGUCCCUGAGCUCUCCUCUGUCCUCCCUGCAGGCAAACCUCUUCCCUGCUGCCCUUGUGCACUUUGGACCUGAGGAGCCAACAGGCAUCUACCUGGAGCCCACGCUGCUGGAACACACCAUUUCCCCGUCUGCAGCUGACGUGCUGGUGGCCAG